GCGACAGCUGGCCGACGGCGCGGCGCAGGUCGCUGCCGGCAACCGCCAGCUCGCGACGGGUGCGACCAGCGCCAGCUCGGGUGCGGCGCAGCUGCA
rnacentral:tRNA from 1 species